UCUGCUGGGUGGUUGUUGUGCAGUUAUCGGUUUCGAGAGAGAGAGAGAAACGAGGGGUGGGCCGAGGGUUGUUUUGUUCAGAAAAAUGUUUCAAAGUCGAGGGCAUUGUCGUCAGUGUUCAAAUAACAUUCCUUUUUUCCCUUAAAGAAAGAUUACAUUGAAAGCAAAAGACAACAUGGUGUUUACACACGAGGGAAGAACAUGGUUACGUGACGUCACGUGCUGCCAUUAAAACGCCCCUCUUGGGCCUAUAUCGGCAUUCAACGUCGUGUUCAUCAAUAACUUGUUGAAACGAAAUGUUUCAUCUGAUCGUAUUCAAAGUUCACCCGACACGCGCCAUCUUGUCCAGAAAAACAUCAAUGAAAUGCAGCACGUUCAUCACACGAGGACGUGGUGUUUUCACCUUAUCAGAGAGGGUUUAUAGGGUCUCUGUUAAUGGCUGUGAAGGUUAAGCAAUUUAAUCUGGCCCAUCACAUGAAUCAGCUUGUUUUUGUUUGCAACAUUGGAAGGUUUCAAAUUUUCCCAUGAUACCGCGAUACCUCUUUUGAUUAGGAUAACUCACAUGAUGGCGUGGAUCACCAAGAUAAAUCACCUGUCGAAUAGCUGCCAAUCUCCCACCACAUGACGAUGGCGUUGACAACCUAUUCAUGGGCAAUGAUUCGGAUAGUAAGUUUUUAUAAUUAUCGUG